rnacentral:rRNA from 1 species
UACGUAGGGGGCAAGCGUUGUCCGGAAUCAUUGGGCGUAAAGAGCGCGUAGGCGGCCCUGUAAGUCCGCUGUGAAAGUCAAGGGCUCAACCCUUGGAUGCCGGUGGAUACUGCAGGGCUAGAGUCCGGAAGAGGCGAGUGGAAUUCCUGGUGUAGCGGUGAAAUGCGCAGAUAUCAGGAGGAACACCAAUUGCGAAGGCAGCUCGCUGGGACGUUACUGACGCUGAGACGCGGAAGCGUGGGGAGCAAACAGG